rnacentral:rRNA from 1 species
CCCCUAGAUGUUCUGGGCCGCACGCGCGCUACACUGAACAGUUCAACAAGUCUUAACCUUGGCCGAUAGGUCUGGGUAAUCUUUGAACGCUGUUCGUGAUUGGGAUAGACCUUUGCAAUUAUGGGUCUUCUACGAGGAAUUCCUAGUAAACGCAAGUCAUCAGCUUGCAUUGAUUACGUCCCUGCCCUUUGUACACACCGCCCGUCGCUCCUACCGAUUGAAUGGUCCGGUGAAGCCUCCGGAUUGGCGCGCACCUCGGUGCCGCCGAGAAGUUGGCUAAACCUUACCAUUUAGAGGAAGGUGAANUCGUAACA